rnacentral:rRNA from 1 species
CCUACGGGUGGCAGCAGUGAGGAAUAUUGGUCAAUGGACGAGAGUCUGAACCAGCCAAGUCGCGUGAAGGAUGACUGCCCUCGGGUUUUUAAGCUUUUUCUAUAUGGGAGUAAAACAGGGUAUGCAUACCCUCUUGUAUUUACCUUACGCAUAGGGAUAGGCGAACUUCGUGCCAGCAGCCGCGGUAAUACGGAGGUUCCGAGCGUUAUCCGGAUUUAUUGGGUUUAAAGGGAGCGUAGGUGGAUUGUUAAGUCAGUUGUGAAAGUUUGCGGCUCAACCGUGAAAUUGCAGUUGAAACUGGCAGUCUUGAGUACAGUAGAGGGGGGCAGAAUUCGAGGUGUAGCGGUGAAAUGCGUAGAGAUCACGAAGAACACCGAUGGCGAAGGCAGCUCACUGGACUGCAACUGACGCUGAUGCGCGAAAGUGUGGGGAUCAAACAGGAUUAGAUACCCGAGUAGUC